AAUGGAUUAAGAGCUUGCUCUUAUGAAGUUAGCGGCGGCCUGUUGAGUAACACGUGGGUAACCUGCCCAUAAGACUGGGAUAACUCCGGGAAACCGGGGCUAAUACCGGAUAACAUUUUGAACCGCAUGGUUCGAAAUUGAAAGGCGGCUUCGGCUGUCACUUAUGGAUGGACCCGCGUCGCAUUAGCUAGUUGGUGAGGUAACGGCUCACCAAGGCAACGAUGCGUAGCCGACCUGAGAGGGUGAUCGGCCACACUGGGACUGAGACACGGCCCAGACUCCUACGGGAGGCAGCAGUAGGGAAUCUUCCGCAAUGGACGAAAGUCUGACGGAGCAACGCCGCGUGAGUGAUGAAGGCUUUCGGGUCGUAAAACUCUGUUGUUAGGGAAGAACAAGUGCUAGUUGAAUAAGCUGGCACCUUGACGGUACCUAACCAGAAAGCCACGGCUAACUACGUGCCAGCAGCCGCGGUAAUACGUAGGUGGCAAGCGUUAUCCGGAAUUAUUGGGCGUAAAGCGCGCGCAGGUGGUUUCUUAAGUCUGAUGUGAAAGCCCACGGCUCAACCGUGGAGGGUCAUUGGAAACUGGGAGACUUGAGUGCAGAAGAGGA
rnacentral:rRNA from 1 species